UUUAAAUAAAUAAAUACAUAUAUUUUGAAUGGGUACUUUACACUUCUUAAAUUCAUUUUUUUGAUCCGGACUGCUCUUUCAGGUACUUGGUCCUUGGGGAUUGGGAUGGGAAAUCUGGAUGGAUGGGAUGGAGAUUACACAAUUCACUUACUACCUGGUCAUUUGUUUCUGAUAAGUAUUAUCGGUGUUGUUUGACAAUUUAAGUGAAGAAUUCCACAAAUGCAGCUAUGUGUGAACAUGAUACGCAAUGCAAAUGUGGAAGAAACUAGUGUAGCAAAAUUCACUUCAAGUUGAAAACUUUUUUCCUUUGGUGGAAGUGGCUAUCAUAUGAUUGGAUAUUGUUUCUUCCUGUUUUAGGGAAAUUUACUGUUUUUAUGUUUUGAAAUUCGUUGCAUAGAUUCAGUUAUACAUCUUACUUACUUUGUUGAUCUCUCUCUAUUUUCAGGCUGGAAGUCAAAAAAUAUUGCCUGUAUCUGUUGAAAUCACGCCUUAUGGUCUUGAACGUAUUCUCAUGUUACUGCAGGAAGGAAAUGAGUGCAUAUUAUUUAGAACAUGGCAACGUUCACCAGGUUCAGACACAUUUCUAACAUCUUUGUGGAAGAAGCUCAUUUGUUUCUUCCUUUAGGAUUACCAAUCCCUGCGUAUGAUCAGGUUUUGAAGGCAUCUCAUGCUUUCAACAUAUUGGACUCAAGAGGCUUCAUUGGAGUAACCGAGCGUGCUCGUUAUUUUGGUCGAAUGCGAAGUUUAGCUCGUCAGUGUGCGCAACUGUGGCUGAUAACCCGAGAAUCCCUAGGUCAUCCACUUGGUGUUGCUUCUGAUCCUGUUGAUCUUGUUAUGUCCUAAAGAACUUCUGGAUGCAGCGAUCAAAAAGGUUAAUAUAUAUAUGUUGAUGAUUUAGUUCGUUAUCACUAUUGCUAAUAAUACCACUUCAGAGACACAACAGCCAACAGCCAACGUAUGUAGGAGGUUUGUCUGUGCAUGGUAGGAUUAGAUGUGUUUGAUUUUGAAAAAUUCUUUUAAUUGUUGUAUCUGUUGUUUAAGGGGCUUCUUUCAUUUGAACAUUGCCAUAUCUUUUCAUUU